rnacentral:rRNA from 1 species
UACGUAGGGGGCUAGCGUUGUCCGGAUUUAUUGGGCGUAAAGCGCGUGUAGGCGGCCAGAUAGGUCUGCUGUGAAAACUCGAGGCUCAACCUCGAGCUGUCGGCGGAAACCAUCCGGCUAGAGUCCGGAAGAGGAGAGUGGAAUUCCCGGUGUAGCGGUGAAAUGCGCAGAUAUCAGGAAGAACACCAAUGGCGAAAGCAGCUCUCUGGGACGGUACUGACGCUGAGACGCGAAAGCGUGGGGAGCGAACAGG